GACGAACGCUGGCGGCGUGCCUAAUACAUGCAAGUCGAGCGAAUCAAUGGGAGCUUGCUCCCUGAGAUUAGCGGCGGACGGGUGAGUAACACGUGGGUAACCUGCCUGUAAGACUGGGAUAACUUCGGGAAACCGGAGCUAAUACCGGAUACGUUCUUUUCUCGCAUGAGAAGAGAUGGAAAGAUGGUUUCGGCUAUCACUUACAGAUGGACCCGGGGCGCAUUAGCUAGUUGGUGAGGUAACGGCUCACCAAGGCGACGAUGCGUAGCCGACCUGAGAGGGUGACCGGCCACACUGGGACUGAGAAACGGCACAGACUCCUACGGGAGGCAGCAGUAGGGAAUCUUCCGCAAUGGACGAAAGUCUGACGGAGCAACGCCGCGUGAGCGAAGAAGGCCUUCGGGUCGUAAAGCUCUGUUGUUAGGGAAGAACAAGUACGAGAGUAACUGCUCGUACCUUGACGGUACCUAACCAGAAAGCCACGGCUAACUACGUGCCAGCCGCCGCGGUAAUAC
rnacentral:rRNA from 1 species